rnacentral:lncRNA from 1 species
GUCCUGUGAGACGUGUGGGGCACCAGGCAGAGGGGAGACGGCGAGGCUUGAGGCCGGAAAUUGGAUGUCACAGGUCUCUGCGCAAACAAAGGAAGGUCGUGAGCAACAAGGCCCGGGCACACUGGAUCCAGAAUGGCUGAAUCAUCUGUGAAAAAGUCCACGAAUGGAAUUUACUAUCCUGUCUUCAACAAAAAAUGAUCAUCUAGAAGAAAAAGCAUUCAUUCUACUUUGUUAGGAAAAAAAAAAAAGCAUAAUUAAUAUCAGAA